rnacentral:rRNA from 1 species
AUGGACAAGUUCGUCCAAGACCAUGAUCUGGCCGACAGAACGCUCCACCACGCCGUCGCCUACGUCGACCGGGUGCUGUCGGUGCGAGCUCUGAUGACUGACAGCGGCUACGAGCUACGCCUCCUGGGUGCCGCAGCCGUCUUUGUCGCCGCCAAAUACGAGGACCGGAAAGCCGUGUGGAAGCUGAAGGCCGACCAGAUCGCCAGGUACGGCGAGUUCGCCGCGGGCAAGGAGGUGCUCGACAUGGAGCGCGAGAUGGUGGAGGCGCUCGGGUACCAACUCGGCGGCCCCACGGCGCACACCUUCCUGGGCCACUUCAUGAGGUACGCCGAGGGGGAGGACAAGACCAAGAUCCUGCCAUUGGCGACUCGCCUCGUCGAUCAGUCUCUGCUCAACUACACGUGCCUCCGCAUCUUGCCGUCCGUCGUGGCGGCGUCCGCGAUCUUCCUCGCGAGGCGGACCCUGAAUCCGCCCGACGUCCUGGCGUGGAACACGGAGCUGACGGAGAUGACGGGUUACAACUGCUCGGACAUGACAGCCUGCAUGCUUAAUAUGUUCUUCUUCUCGCGCUCGCUCAUCUGUAGCCCUCCUUCUUGA